rnacentral:rRNA from 1 species
UACAGAGGGGGCAAGCGUUGUUCGGAAUUACUGGGCGUAAAGAGCUCGUAGGCGGCCUGUUACGUCUGCUGUGAAAUCCCGGGGCUUAACCCCGGGCGUGCAGUGGAUACGGGCAGGCUGGAGGCAGGCAGGGGAGAACGGAAUUCCCGGUGUAGCGGUGAAAUGCGCAGAUAUCGGGAGGAACACCGGUGGCGAAGGCGGUUCUCUGGGCCUGUACUGACGCUGAUGCACGAAAGCUGGGGGAGCAAACAGG